AGGCAAAUCGACACCUGUUUUCUAGGGUUCCGCCGUACUCAUCGGAUCUGUCAUUCACUUGAUCUUUCAGGAAUUGAUCUAUUAUGUAUCCGUUUGCUCCAUGGAUCUCUACACCAUCAAAUCCUGUGAUUUCAAGCGAGUCUGAAGUCGUUAACGAUGGCUGGGAUUUCAUCGGAGCGUAGUCUACGAGGUGGAGACCAAUCUCCUCCGGCGAGGCCCGGUGUUAUUCCUUUGUCCGUAGAAGAUAAUGGAGCUUCACCAUUUGGUUGAAAUCCUAAUUUUGUCAUCAGACAUUUAAAAAAAAAAGUUAAAAGGGUGCCUUCUUCUUGCAUUUUGUUUAAUUUCUUCUUGCAUUUUGUUUAAUUUUGAUCUAUUAUUGCAUAAAUAUUUUACACUCUACUUUUUUCUUGCA